UACGCAGGGUGCGAGCGUUAAUCGGAAUUACUGGGCGUAAAGCGUGCGCAGGCGGUUCUGCAAGUCAGAUGUGAAAUCCCCGGGCUUAACCUGGGAACUGCGUUUGAAACUACGGAGCUAGAGUGCGGCAGAGGGGGGUGGAAUUCCACGUGUAGCAGUGAAAUGCGUAGAUAUGUGGAGGAACACCGAUGGCGAAGGCAGCCCCCUGGGCCGACACUGACGCUCAGGCACGAAAGCGUGGGGAGCAAACAGG
rnacentral:rRNA from 1 species